GCAGUUUUUUUUAAUGCAUGAACUGAAACUGUGACAAAGGGCAGAUCAGCAUGGUCCCUGGACAAGGAUGACAAGCAAGAUCAUGAAUGUUAAGACUUGAGU